rnacentral:lncRNA from 1 species
AGAACGCGGGACUCGUUAAUUCCACGUAAGCAGAAAUCGUCGUAAACAACUCGUAAGCUAACGAGAAAAUAACGACGAAAUAAAAAAAUGAAGAACGUGGGGCUCGUUAAUUCUACGUAAGAAGAAAUCGUCGUAAAUACCUCGUAAUCGGAAAACACGGGCCUUGCUAAUUCCUCGUAGAAUAAAAAAUAGAAAAAAAAGAAGAGAAGAAAGAUACUGGAAUCACAUGUGGCGAGACCUACGUAAGUGUAGCCCACAUGUGUUUCAAUAUCUUCUUCUCCUCUUUUUUUUUUCAAAUCUUUCUAAUUUGAAAAGCAAACUGGUGAGUAAUUAGUGUGUGAUUUGAGAUAGUGUAUGAUUUGUGAGUUUGUGUGUGAUUUGAGAAGGAACUUGUGGGAAUUUAUAGAAAAGCGGGCCUCGCUAAUUCCUCGUAAAGGAAGGACUCGUUAAUUCCACGUAAGGCAAAAUCGUCGUAAAGACCUCGUAACCAGAAAACACGGGCC